rnacentral:tRNA from 1 species
CAAAAGAUAGUUUAGACAAAACACUAACCCUGGGAGUUAGAAACACAGAAUGAACUGUUCUUUUGA